rnacentral:rRNA from 1 species
CCUACGGGGGACAGCAGUGAGGAAUAUUGGUCAAUGGACGAGAGUCUGAACCAGCCAAGUAGCGUGAAGGAUGACUGCCCUAUGGGUUGUAAACUUCUUUUAUAUGGGAAUAAAAUGUUCCACGUGUAGGAUUUUGUAUGUACCAUAUGAAUAAGGAUCGGCUAACUCCGUGCCAGCAGCCGCGGUAAUACGGAGGAUCCGAGCGUUAUCCGGAUUUAUUGGGUUUAAAGGGAGCGUAGGUGGAUUGUUAAGUCAGUUGUGAAAGUUUGCGGCUCAACCGUAAAAUUGCAGUUGAAACUGGCAGUCUUGAGUACAGUAGAGGUGGGCGGAAUUCGUGGUGUAGCGGUGAAAUGCUUAGAUAUCACGAAGAACUCCGAUUGCGAAGGCAGUUCACUGGACUGCAACUGACACUGAGGCUCGAAAGUGUGGGUAUCAAACAGGAUUAGAUACCCCAGUAGUC